AAACCGCAAGUGUGCAGUCGCUGCAGGGCCAAUGGCUCUGCAGAGGAAAGUCCGAACUUCACAGGGCAGGGUGCCGGUCGAGAGAGCCGAAAGGUCCUCAAGCCUGGGCAGGUCGGCGCAAGCCGGUCCUGACAGAGAGCGCAGCAGAAAGCAGACCGCUCCGGGAAACCGGAGUAAGGGUGAAACGGCGGUGUAAGAGACCACCAGGCAUUCCGGUAACGGAAUGCGCUAUGCAAACCUCCCCGAAGCAAGGCCGAAUAGGAAAGCUUUUCCCUUAAAGGGAAAAAGGGCGGCCCGCCCAAUUCCGCAAGGAGAGUUUUCGGGUAGGCCGCAUCAGAUAAAUGACUGCAGUUUCAUCCGGUACGCCGGAUGAAUCACAGAAUUCGGCUUACAUCUUCGGUUUCGGC
rnacentral:RNase_P_RNA from 1 species